AUGCUAGUCGUACGAGUUCGAAGCUCGUGGCGGAAAGCUCAGUAACACGUGGCCAAACUACCCUACGGACCGGACUAACCUCGGGAAACUGAGGCUAAUGCCGGAUACGGCUCCCACGCUGGAGUGCGGGGAGCCGGAAACGCCCCGGCGCCGUAGGAUGUGGCUGCGGCCGAUUAGGUAGACGGUGGGGUAACGGCCCACCGUGCCCAUAAUCGGUACGGGUCAUGAGAGUGAGAGCCCGGAGACGGUAUCUGAGACAAGAUACCGGGCCCUACGGGGCGCAGCAGGCGCGAAACCUUUACACUGCACGCCAGUGCGAUAGGGGGACUCCGAGUGCGAGGGCAUACAGUCCUCGCUUUUCUGCACCGUAAGGUGGUACGGGAACAAGUGCUGGGCAAGACCGGUGCCAGCCGCCGCGGUAAUACCGGCAGCACGAGUGAUAGCCGAUAUUAUUGGGCCUAAAGCGUCCGUAGCUGGCCGAACAAGUCCGUUGGGAAAUCGACGCGCCCAACGCGUCGGCGUCCAGCGGAAACUGUUCGGCUUGGGGCCGGAGGACUCGAGGGGUACGUCCGGGGUAGGAGUGAA
rnacentral:rRNA from 1 species